rnacentral:rRNA from 1 species
AGGGGCAGCGGGGGCGUAGCAAUAUGCCUGCCGGCGACCGGCGCACGGGUGAGUAACACGUAUGUAACCUGCCCUAUGCAGGGGGAUAACCCGGAGAAAUCCGGCCUAAUACCGCGUAAUACCUUAGGGGAGCAUUCUCUUGAGGUUAAAGGAGAGAUCCGGCAUAGGAUGGACAUGCGUCGCAUUAGGUAGACGGCGGGGUAACGGCCCACCGUGCCGACGAUGCGUAGGGGUUCUGAGAGGAAGGCCCCCCACACUGGUACUGAGACACGGACCAGACUCCUACGGGAGGCAGCAGUGAGGAAUAUUGGUCAAUGGCCGAGAGGCUGAACCAGCCAAGUCGCGUGAGGGAAGAAUGUCCUAAGGAUUGUAAACCUCUUUUGUCGGGGAGCAAAAAGGCUCUGCGGAGUCGUAUUGAGAGUACCCGAAGAAAAAGCAUCGGCUAACUCCGUGCCAGCAGCCGCGGUAAUACGGAGGAUGCGAGCGUUAUCCGGAUUUAUUGGGUUUAAAGGGUGCGCAGGCGGCGUGUCAAGCAAGCGGUAAAAUAGCGGGGCUCAACCCCGUCGAGCCGUUUGAACUGGCGCGCUUGAGUUCAGGCGAGGUAGGCGGAAUUCGUGGUGUAGCGGUGAAAUG